rnacentral:rRNA from 1 species
AUUGAACGCUGGCGGCAUGCUUUACACAUGCAAGUCGAACGGUAACAGGCCGCAAGGUGCUGACGAGUGGCGAACGGGUGAGUAAUGCAUCGGAACGUGCCCAGUCGUGGGGGAUAACUACUCGAAAGAGUAGCUAAUACCGCAUACGAUCUAUGGAUGAAAGCGGGGGACCGUAAGGCCUCGCGCGAUUGGAGCGGCCGAUGUCAGAUUAGGUAGUUGGUGGGGUAAAGGCUCACCAAGCCAACGAUCUGUAGCUGGUCUGAGAGGACGACCAGCCACACUGGGACUGAGACACGGCCCAGACUCCUACGGGAGGCAGCAGUGGGGAAUUUUGAACAAUGGGCGCAAGCCUGAUCCAGCAAUGCCGCGUGCAGGAAGAAGGCCUUCGGGUUGUAAACUGCUUUUGUACGGAACGAAACGGCUCUGGUUAAUACCCGGGGCUAAUGACGGUACCGUAAGAAUAAGCACCGGCUAACUACGUG